rnacentral:rRNA from 1 species
UACGUAUGGAGCAAGCGUUAUCCGGAUUUACUGGGGGUAAAGGGAGCGUAGUCGGCAUAGCAAGUCUGAAGUGAAAUCCCACGGCUCAACCGUGGAACUGCUUUGGAAACUGUUAAGCUGGAGUGCAGGAGAGGUAAGCGGAAUUCCUAGUGUAGCGGUGAAAUGCGUGGAUAUUAGGAGGAACACCAGAGGUGAAGGCGGCUUACUGGACUGUAACUGACGCUGAGGCUCGAAGGCGUGGGGAGCAAAC